GGGCGAUUAGCUCAGUUGGUAGAGCAGCUGACUCUUAAUCAGCGGGUCCGGGGUUCGAGUCCCCGAUCGCCCUCCA
rnacentral:tRNA from 2 species